UAGGUGAUCUGCCCACCUCAGCCUUCCAAAGUCCUGUGAUUAACAGGUAUGAGCCACCAUGCCCAGCUGGCCCAGAUGUAGCUCUUAAGAAUAGAUGCACAGAAAAUCCUCGGGGUCAUUUUGCCCAGUUGCUUUUAGCUGAAAUAUAAAAAUAUGGUUACAUUUUGCUAUUAUGUGUUAAAUUAAAAGACCAAAAAUUCACUUAUAUUUUUCUUUUAUAAAAUGUAUUUGAAACUCUGGAAUGUGGUUCUAGGCAGUCUUGCUAAGUGGGUUUUCUUUUCUUUCUUUUUUUUUUUUGAGACGGAGUUUUGCUCUGUUGUCCAGGCUCCAGUGCAGUGGCACAAUCUCGGCUCACUGCAACCUCCGCCUCCUGGGUUCAAGCAAUACUCCUGCCCUAGCCUCCUGAGUAGCUGGCACUACAGGCGCACGCCACCAUGCUGGCUAAUUUUUGUAUUUAUUUAUUUUUUUUAGUAGAGACAGGGUUUCACCAUGUUGGCCAGGCUGGUUUCGAACUCCUGACCUUGUGAUCUGCCCGCCUCUGCCUCCCAAAGUGCUGGGAUUACAGGCAUGAGGUACCGUGCCUGGCCUGCUAAGUGGCUUUUCAUUCUAUCAGAGGAAAAGGAAGCAAUGCAGAUCACUGUGUGGCUUCUGUAGUUUUCUGGGAUAUCCAGCAGGGUGGUAGCUAGUUCUUGGCUUUUCCUGACUCUUCCCUUCACUUAGUCCUUUUAGAGGAAAGAAGCUUGAUUUCUUUCUCUCACUCCAAAAGGCUGCAGGAAGUGUAUCCCUUUCUGCCUUAAGACAAACUGUAAAGACGGCCUGAGGUAAGGACCUGAUUAUUACUUCUGCUUAACAGUCUUAGAAAAGAGUGCAUUAAUGAAAAAGAAAAGAAGGCUUUAAAAGCAGAGUUGAUGAUUUUGCACAGUACUCUUAAAUCUGCAUGUAGCCAAAAGUGAGUGAUUAGGCAGAGUUGAAAUGAAGCAAUGAUCCCACGACAACUGUUCAUUCAGAACAGCUGUUGUUUCUAAGUGUGUACAUAAUCUCACCUGUCAGCUUAGCAAACAGGUUAAAUUCAGAUUCAUCAUUUGUUCCUUUAGUAUUCUGUACAUUAAAUUUGAAGCCUCCAUUUUUAAUAAGUGAAAUGAUUGUGGCAAUGUUGGUUUUUUAAAAGGGAUAUCUUUGUCUAAACUUGUAUGCUUAAAAAAAACAUUUUAAUGCUCACUAUAAAAUUUCAUGACAAUGGGUGAGAAACUAAUAAAAUGGUUUCAAUGAAUAACUUUAACUCCCCACAAACUAACAGGCAUCAACGAAAGGAGAGAAGGAAAAUUUAGAAUUACAUGAUUUGAAGAAACAGUGUGCACUUUGUCCUCAUGGUGUUUGUAAAUUAAGAUUCAUUUUAUAUAAUGGUAAUGUCAAGGCAAUCGCAAUCUCAGGUAAGAUUCAGUUCUCUUGUACUGAUAAGUCUCACCAUAUUUUAUUGGAAUUAUUUGUGUGUAUGUUCUCUUUGGUCAAAAUCAAGUUCUGAAAGGGCAAGGCACAUGGUAGGUACUCAGUAAAGGUUGCUGUCUAAAUUGAACUGCAGAGAAAAACACUUCCAAAGUGAGUCUCAAGAUACUUUGGCACAAAGUUCUGAGGCCUUCAAAAGGCCAAGCAGCUUUUGGGGGUGUUGGAGAAAGAGUAGAUAAAGGUUAUGACUGGUGUACUGGGGAGUUUCUGCUUUCUGAAAGACUCUGUGUGCCCUGUCCCUACUGUAGAAAUUUUACAUUCUUUUCUAGCCAGGAGACCAUGGGCAGCCUAUCUCUUCACCACCCUUGAUUUUUUCCAUACAUCCUUUCAUUGUUUGGUUUAACUAGCAUCACUCAAAGGAGGGAUUAGAAACAGGGGUCUAGUUUUUGUUUUCCCAAGUUCUUUUUUCUUUUCUUUCCUUUUCCUUUCUUUUCUUCUCCUCUCUUUCUUCUCUCCUCUCUCUCUCUCUCUUUUCUUGAGACAGAGUAUCACUCUCUCACCCGGGCUGAAAUGGGAAUGCAAUGGCACAAUCUCAGCUCACUGCAACCUCUGCCUCCUGAUCUCAAUCAAUUCUCGUGCUUCAGCCUCCUGAGUAAUUGAGAUUACAGGUGUGUGUCACCACACCCAGCUAAUUUUUGUAUUUUUAGUAGAAACAGGGUUUCACCAUGUUGGUCAGGCUGGUCUUGAACUCUGUUCUCAAGUGAUCUGCCUGCCUUGGCCUCCCAAAGUGCUGGGUUUACAGGCGUGAGCCACUGCACCUGGGCUGUUUUCUCAAUUUAUUUUCUACUUUAUUGACAUAGCCUUGUGAAAGAAAGGUGAGAUGUUUUGAAUGUUAUGCAAAUAAAGUUUCUUGGGUCCUAAUGUUUCUUCCAAAAUCAUACAGUUUCCUAAAAUAUGUAAACUUUUAAUCUAGUAGGUGAAGGCCAGCAAUGUUGUGGUUUUGGCUGAAAGCAUGAACACUAAAAGUUCUCCCCUUUCCAUAUCUGUGCAUAUUUGUACAGGGUGCGGGGUUGGUAGGAAGAGGGGAAGGUGUGAGUAGCACAUAAGGUGGUAAGAGACAGAGCUGGAAGUGGGCAUUUGAGUUAUAAAGCAGGAAUGAAGGAGAUACAGCUGCUGAUGUGGUAACAAUGAACAUUUUUAGGUCACUAUACCUCACUAUAUUUCAACUGUUUGAUGGAAGAGAAAGUAAAAGUCCUAAAAUAUAGGGGCUGGUAUAUAAAAGGAGACUAUGUUUUUAGUGAGUCUGUGCAAAAAGUGGCAUUAACUAAGAAUCCAAAUGAAUUUGUCAACUUCUAAUGGAAUUAUUUAUAUAUUUUUCUCAAAUAUUAUCAUUUCUUAAAUUGUAUUAUAUCAUGCUAUUGACCAGUUAAUUGGAUAGUGGUGAUGUUUAGGAAGCUAGAAACUGUUUUGAUCAGAUUGGUGACUAAAAACUAUGUAUGUUCUGACUACUUUUGGAAGACAAUUCUCUGUGGGUCUCUUGUGUUUCUUCAUGUUUUACAAGCAGAGACACUGACUGUCUUUGUUCCAGACCAAUGGUCAGCAAGGUUUGGCCCACAGGCCAAGUCUAGCCUAUGACCAGUUUUUGUGUGGCUUGUGAAUUAAGAAAGUUUUUAUAUAUUUAAAGAGUUGUAAACCAACAACAAAAACAAUAAGAAUGUCAAGGACAAUGAGAGGAAUACUUGGAGAUUUGUUAUGGCCAGCAUAGCCUAAAAUAUUUACUAUCUGACCUUUUACAAAAGAAUUUUCCUCUGUUAUAGAUUAUCUUUUCAAGCACGUUUACAGAGUAAACAGCCUUGGAAAAUAUAUAGUUUCUCCCUCUGGAACAAAAGGGCAGGUGUUACCUGGCCCAUUUGCUUCUGCCCUGUGGGAAUUGGGCCAUAGAGAGUCAGUGUGAAAACAAUGGUAUUGUGGCUACCACUAUUGCCAUGAGCAACAAACUGUCUUUUGUCUCUGACUUAGGGGUCUCAUAUCUUCUGCCAGCAUCCACUGGGCAGGCUAACUUGUUAGACUGCAAGUAGAGUUAAAAUCUCAGACCCUUCACAAAUCUUGUUACCUACUUGAAGAGUUAAUCUGGAUUUGCAAAAGAAAGAGAAAAAGAAACCCAUAUUAGACAUUCAUGAGUUAUUCAAUUAUAACUAUAGAUUAUUUACUCCACUAGAAAUAUGAGAGGGAAAAAUAUAAAGGAUAAAAAGUGUAUUAGGAUGAUAUCUAGAUCUUUUUAAGGUUACCUUGUAUGAUAAAGUUUUCUUGAAUUGUUCACUGAAAUAGAAAAAAAAGGAAUUAGUCAUCAUUCUAAAUAUUAAGAGUAAGAUAAUCUUGAAGAAACUAAAUUAUAUAAAAAUAUGCUUUGUAUGUAGAAAGCAUAAAAUGCUAUGGUGAAGUAAAAACUAUGCCAGUUUGAAAUGCUUUUAUAAAAAGACAGAAAAGCAUAUCAUCAAUAUGUUAUUAAUUUUAAGAAAUCUAUUCCACAGAUUGUUUACACUGUUAGAGAAGCACCUUUUUUGUCUCUAUCCCUCAUGGGAACACUAAGAUCCAGGUGUUUUAACAUGUGGGUUUUACUGUUAUUCAGAUGUGCACAGCCAACAGAUCAGGAGAGGACUGCCAUUGAAAAGAUACUUUAUUACUCACAGUUCCCCAAGAAGAGGGGGCAUGCCAUGUGAUGAAGGGCCACAUGGGGAAACACCAGUAUAGGUCAGGAGGCGGUUUCCAUGGGAAGAAAAAGAGAUGAGAUGAGAUGAGAUGACCUGCCUGAAGACAGCAGCUACCCACUGCAGGUCUCCUUCCACCUGAGAGCUGAGUAGAUAUUGGGAUGACCUGCCUGCGGAAAGAAGCUACCCACUCUGGAUCUCUUCUCUGCUGAGGGUUGCAGAGAUGAGAUGAGAUGAGAUGACCUGCCUGAAGACAGCAGCUACCCACUGCGGGUCUCCUUCCACCUGAGAGCUGAGUAGACAUUGGGAUGACCUGCCUAUGGAGAGAAGCUACCCUCUGUGGGUCUCCUCUCGGCUGAGAGCUGAGCAGACAUUGGGAUGACUGUCUGUGGAGAGGAGCUACCCACUUUAUCUCCUGAGAGCUGUACUGUUGCUCAAUAAAGCACCUCUUUGCCUUGCUCAUCCUCCAA